rnacentral:lncRNA from 1 species
GGCUCUGGAAUUAAUUUUGGUUUAGGAUUAUAGAGAUAUGAAGAAGUAGGGAAUUGGUUUUGGUUUUGGUUUUGGUUUUGAUUUUGAUUUUGAUCGAGAUUAAGAUUUUAUUGAUUUGGAUAGGUCAUUGAAAGGGUUUUCAUGAUUUUGUUUUUACAGGCAGUGGAAGAGGCGAGUUUUGCAGUAGAAUCUCAACCAAAACAGGAAGUUCUUAAUAGGAAGUUGCGAUACAAAGCUCCUAGAACUGUUGGAUUGUAGAAAUUGCUGAACAUCGAUGCUCUUUCAAAUAAAGUUCAUGUAUGCCGUUAUUGAUUUAAAAAAAAUUUGUAUUAGUACAAGCAUAUUGUGC